CACGCGCAGAGUCGCUGCUCGCGGCCCCCCCAGCUGAGGUGUGGAUGCGGCCAUUUCCCAUGAGGAGCUCUGGUUUGAGGUGCCCGGUGUGAGCCAGGUGCACAGCACCCUGUGAGCAAGUGGAGCUAGACUAAGCGCAAAGAAAAGGGAAAGGAGGGGCCACAGGGAGAUAAUUGGGAGAGGUGCAGCGUGGACGUUCACAGCAGCAGCCGUGUUGCAGCGCACACAUGUGGCUUGGCUACAGGCGCCCCUCAUCACCAGGAGACAGCAGCCAAGCUUGAACCUGCUCCACCAGCCCACCCAGCACUCUUUCAGCUUCUCCACCGCUUGGGCUAGUGUGUGUGUUGGCCCCACGACAAAGGCCUUGGCUUCUGCAGGACACCAUGCCAGCAACGUCCGAGACAAGAACUGUCCUGGAUCUCUGUCCAUCUUCCUGGACUCCAGCUUGGUCCAGCUGUCCUGUAAUUUACAUCCAUCUUCUCUUCCCAACUGCCCACCCUGUGGACUUUAAUCUAUAGCCCCAGAUUGGAUCCAUUUUUCAUCACGGAUUGCAAAGGGGUGAUAUUCUAGCUGUAGCAUUUCUUUUGCUGAAAUUUUUAGCUGAAAUUCCUGAGCUGCCAUCUAAACAGGCAAAGCACAGAAGCCAGCUGCUAUAUCAUGAGGAUGCUCAAGGAGCCCUGUGGAGAGAGGAGGUCCAUGUGGUGAGAAACAGAGGCCUCCUGCCAGCAACCACAUGAGGAAACCAUUGUGCAGGUGGAUUCUCUCACCUAGGCAAGCCUUCAGAGGACUGAAACUCAGGCCAGCUCAUGAGAUACCCUGAGCCAGAGACACCCAGCUAAGUCGCUCCUGGAUUCCUGACUCUUCGAACUCAUGAAUGUGGGAGGCAUGGACACGCACAUAUAUGAAUUGGCACCAUCUCAUUUCAUGACAGCAGCAAUCCUGUGAGUUGUAUUAGUCCCAAUUUUCACGUAAGGAAAAUGAGACCUGCUCAAAAUUACAAACUAAUAUACACGGCGAAGCCAGCAUACAAAGCCAGCAAACAAAACCAGCUUGGGCUGAUUCUAAAGCUGAGGUUCUCUCCUUCACUCCAUGCUAUAACUCUUGGAGGGGGAGUUGUGGGGGAGUUGUGGAGGUAGGAUGGGGGUGGUGGUGCAGUGUUUGAAGUGAAACGGAGUAAUAAAUACUUGUGACUUACUGUUAAGGGGAGAAAUAUAAAAUAGUGCAGCCACGGCUCAGCUCGUCCCUGCCCUUAACCUGUAAAGAUUGCCUGUUACUGGGUGAUGAGGUUUUUCCUGCAUAGGGCUAUUUGUUGUAGAGAAACUUUUAAAGCUGUAUCACUAAAUUGCAGUUACUGCUCCUGCUAUUAAGAUUUUCUGGACUUCCUAGGUGGCGCAGUGGUUAAGAAUCCGCCUGCCAAUGUAGGCGACACAGGUUCAAUUCCUGCCCCAGGAAGAUCCCACAUGCUGCUGAGCAACUAAGCCUGUGAGCCACAACUACUGAGCCCAUGUGCCACAAUUACUGAAGCCCACACACCUAGAGCCCAUGCUCAACAAGAGAAGCCACGGCAAUGAGGAGCCUGUGCACCACAACAAAGAGUAGCCCCCGUUCGCUGCAACUAGAGAAAGCCCGUGUGCAGCAAUGAAGACCCAACACAGCCAAUAAAAUAAAUAAGUAAAUGAAUAAUAAAUAAAAAAGAUUUGCUGCCCUGGGACUUCUCAGGCAGUCCAGUGGUUAAGGCUCUACGCUUUCAAUGCUGGGGGUGUGGGUUCAAUCCCUGGUUGGGGAACAAAGAUCCCACAUGCUGCGUGGUGGCCAAAAAUUAAAAAAAUUAAAAAAUUAAAAAUAAAAAAAAGAUUUUCUGCCCUGAAUGCCCCCAUACCACUGUACUCUUAAUUCAUCCUUCAAAAUGAGUUAAGCUCAUCAUCACCUCUCCUCUGAAUCCUCUCUUAGUGCUUUUCACGUGGUAUCCCUUCUCAUUCUUUCUGCAGCACCUGGGAAGGGAUUCAGGAUCAUCAGUUCUAAAGAAAGAACGAUCCCACUGCUAGCUGACCACACACCUACAUGGAGUCCAGAGCCUCCUGCCAAAGAUUUCCCAACUUUUCUCAUCGGUUUACUUCUGGACCGACUGAGUCAGUGAGUUGUGGGUGAGCAUCUGAAUGUGCCUUCUUCUUGUCUCUGUUCUCUCUUCCUCCCCUGUCCCCCCCAUUCUCCUCUACCUUGAUGUCCCCGCUGGCCUCUCCUCCAGGGCCCUGACUUUAUCCUGGAAACCAAAAGGGAGGAGGAGGAUGCUGACUGCUCUGGGUCCUGCGUGAGAUUCCUGUGCCUACUCGCAAUGCGGCACCCUCUAGGAUGGUCCUGCCCGGUUUCAGGCCCACAGUACAUGUGUGUUGAAUAAUAGGCAUAAAAAAUUGCCAAGGCUGUCUGGAUUCUCCAAGUGGAAAAUACACUGCAUUUGUACCUUUUUUUUGGUGUGGGGGAGGGGGAGGGGAGGUGGUUGCUGUUUGUAAUACUUCUGCCCUCUUAGUGUUGUUGAACCCAAGUCCAUGUGCCCAACGCACAGUGGGGGAGCCAGACAAAUGAAAACAUUGGAGUUUGGAGCAGAGAAAGGUUUAUUGCAAGGAGAAUGGGCCGCUCAGGGUCAAAAAGUCUAGACGCCCCGAUGUUUUUCCGAGAAGAGUUUUUAUAGGCAAAAUUUAGGGAGAGGGCUGCAGGCUGUGUAACUUCCCUGUGAUUGGUCGGUGGUGAGGUGAGGGUGGUGCUCCAGGAAUCUCAGUCAUCAGCCUUCUGGUUCCAACAAGUCUGGGGUCCGCGGCUUGCGCUCAGCCUGAAGUCACCAUCCUCCACCUGGGUGGGGGGUUAGUUCCUGCACAAGGACUCAGAGACAUGAAUCAGAUUGUUAGGCACAUUCCCGGAGGAGAAACCAGGACCGUGCCGCAUCCUGCACUGUUGCUUCUUUCUGCAUUCCCUCACUCCCCUCACUAGCAACUGUUUGAAUGUGCCUUUUGGAACUCAGGGAAGGUCUAGGAGGAUGAAAGCCUUUUUCCUACAGACAAGAAACAGGGGACACAGAAAUGCUCUUGUGCGGGGUUCGGGGGUGCCCACAGGGUCCUGCUCAGUUCCGUUAGCACGGCUUUGAGAUGCUGGCGCAGCGAACAUGUGUGGUUCUCCUUAUACAACGGCAUCCACUCCACCUUCAUCCUUCAAUAAGACAUAGGUUUUUCUUCAGGGUACCAAUCCUACUCCUCCUCUCUCAGCCCAUUUGGUUUGGGUGGGCUUGUUUUUGAGCUUGUUUGUGCCCUAAGCAGCAGCAAUGAGAAUAUUUUUUUAACAUUUUAUUUAUUUAGUUAGUUACUUAGUUAGUUAGUUAGUUUUGGCUGCAUCGGGUCUUCGUUGCUGUGUGCAGGCUUUCUCUAGUUGCUGCAAGCCGGGGCUUCGUUGCGGUGCACAGGCUUCUCAUUAGGAGCAGUGAGAAUAUUGCAUUCCCCUGACCACCUUGACCCCCUCCAGGUCAGUGAGUGUGACACGUGUGUCUGUGUGUGAACCGAAAAGCAGCAGUGCUCUCUACACUGUUGGAUAUAAACUAAGCUGGUUGGAUAUAAACCCAGGUUGGAUAUAAACUCAGAGUGGCCUGUGGCUGUCCUGCCACCCUAUAGGAAGGACCUAAUUGAGAAUAAAGUUCAAAAAAAGGAAAACACAGCAAGCGAUGGAGAGACUGGCGUCAACCGUGCCUGAAGCUAGGUACCCCCUUCAUCUUUUGAUUUUUUUGAGACAGUAAAUUUCCUUUGUUACUUAAGGCAAUUGACGUUGGGUUCUUAUUGCCUGCAACAAAAAGUCCUUUUAAUGCAGUUAUUAUUGCUAAUGAAGCCCUUGUCUCUUCACUCAAACCCCCCUGCCCAUGAGAGAUGAAAAGGGGAGAAAAUAAGGAGCUGAUGGGAGAAGGAAACCCUGCCUCAAUGUAAUCAUACUGUAACCACUUGUGUGCACGUCUGCACAAGCACCUGACAAGCGCCUGUCCCAAGAAUCUAGCACAGUGUGUAAACCACAGUUAAAGCUCAAAUCGCAUUGGGUGGGUGGGAUGAAUUGAGAGAUUGGGAUUGACAUGUAUACACUAAUACGUAUGAAAUAGAUAACAAAUAAGAACCUGCUGUAUAGCACAGGGAACUCCACUGUACAGUUCACUGUACAGUAAAAACUAACACAAUAUUGUAAAACAAAUAUACCCCAAUUUAAAAAAAAAAAGCUCAGAAAGUAUUUAUUGGUUAGAUAAACUUGACCUAUUCAUAGUUUUUAAGCUUUGGAGUCAAUUGGACCUGAUUGCCUCAUUUACUAACCAUGUACUUUUGGCCCAGUUACCUCACGUUUCCCAUCCUGAUUUCCUAGUCUGUCAAAUGAGCACAUGCAUAGCCCCACUUCACAUGUUGUUGGAUGGAUGACAUAAGGUCGUGUGUGCCGCAUAUCCCAUGGCAAAUAUCCAGUGACAUGCAACACCUUUAUUAUUAUGAAACAAACAAAAUAGAAUGAUGAGGGCCUAGACUUCCUCAUAUGUGUAUUUCUAUAAAAAGCUAUUUUUUAUAAUGGCAUUUUAAUGUAUUUUGGUUCAUCAUAUGAUUAUUUAUGUAUAGCCAUGUGAUCUUAGUUAAGUUACUUAACUUGUCUGAGCCUAGUUUACUUCAAUUGAGCAUGUGUCUGCUACCAGGCAUACUUGUUCUCGGGUUAAAUAAUGAAGGGCAUAUUACAAUGCCUAGCUGAGAUGUAAUAGGUGGAGUAGCAGCCUCUAAACUGGCCCUUCAUAAUCUCCACCCUCUGGUAUUCGUGCCUUGUUUGAAUUCUCUCCCUUCACAAACCCUGCAUAGAGUUCAGCAGAUUCGUUCUCUGCUUCUGUUCCCUGAUCUGCUCACUCUCAUCUUCUAACUUUUGUUCUCUGUUCCCCCGGCUGGAGCCUGCCCCAACGCCUGCUUGGCCACGUUUUAGAUAGCCCAGAGGCCCUUUUAAUGCAUGGCUUUCGUGAAGCCUUUUCUGGUCUCUCUACCUCUAUGCUUGCUGUUGAAAGUCAUCUUUUCUUCCCCUUGUACUUCAUAGCAGAUAUUCCUAUCUUUCUUAUGCCAUCUGUAUUUUUACAUUGUAUCAUAUCAAUUUUUAUCAUGUCUGAUCUCCUACAAUACUCAAAUUGUAGAUUUGAAAAGUUAAUGUCCCAUCCAUCUUUGCAACCCUGUAUGGUAUGCUAGGGCAUGAUGGCUUGUAAUAAUGGUGCUCAGUAAACAUUGGUUGAGAUAUUACUGUGAAAAAGUGUAUGAAUUAAUAAAUAGAUGAUCACAAAAAUAAUGAAAUUUAUGUUCCUAUUUCCUUCUUCUUGAAUAAUGACAUUUUCCACAUUUUCAAUAUAUCCCUGUUAAGUCAUCUUUCCAGGAUUCUAACAUUCAUUAGCAAAUUCAUGAGUAAGCUACCUUAAAGAAAAUUCCAAAUCAGCAAAAAGGAGCAUGUCUAUCCUAUUAGCAGGAUAGCAUUAUUAUUACUAUAAUGUUAAGGCAGUUCACAAUUUGUAUUAAUGAUUUAUCCAUUCAGUCAGUCAGUUAUUCAACAAGAAAUGUGUUUAUCACCUGAGAAGAGCACUAUGGAGGAGGAAAAAAGAAGGAUAAUGUGUGAUUCCUGCCCUUACAGCCCAGCUAGGAAAACCACAAACUAGUGAGAAGUUUACUAAGGCAAGGCG